ACGGAAGGCAGCAGUGGGGAAUAUUGCACAAUGGGGGAAACCCUGAUGCAGCAACGCCACGUGUGGGAAGAAGCAUUUCGGUGUGUAAACCACUGUCGUGAAGGAAUAAUGCUGGACCUCGGUCCAGUUGAAUGUACUUUGAAAGGAAGCACCGGCAAACUUCGUGCCAGCAGCCGCGGUAAUACGAGGGGUGCAAGCGUUGUUCGGAAUCACUGGGCGUAAAGGGAGCGCAGGCGGAGAUGCAAGCAGUCUGUACAAUACCGGGGCCCAACCCCGGACCUGCAGACUGGACUGUUUCGCUUGGAUAGCUCAGGGGCUGGCGGAAUUCCUGGUGUAGCGGUGGAAUGCGUAGAGAUCAGGAAGAACACCGAUGGCGAAGGCAGCCAGCUGGGGGCUUAUCGACGCUCAGGCUCGAAAGUGCGGGUAGCAAACAGGAUUAGAUACCCUGGUA
rnacentral:rRNA from 1 species